GAAAGAUACACCUAAGGUGACUAAGAAUGGAUACUGUGCAAAUCUUAAGACAGCACAGAGAUUCAAGAACUAUAGCAGAAUGAAAGGCUGGGGAUAGUCACUGCAGGCUCAGGACUCCCGGCCCUAGGCUAAGCCCCAUUCUAAUUCAAGUCAAAGGAACAGAAGAGAGUUCUCCUGCAGGGCACAGGAAGGAAGGUGGAAUUCUCCCUCCUACAAAGGAGAAGAUUUAUGUUUGAGUCACAGUAUAGUGGCAAGAACUACUCUUGUGUGUUGAUCUCACCUCUGACGCUACUUGGGUCUCUAUGUCAGGAGAGUCACUUCCAACGUUCCUCGCUCCACAGCUUCAUCUGUGUGAUGGGCAGGUGUGGCUAGACCAGCAUUUCCUAAACUAUGUUCCUUGGAACAUCUGAUUCUCUUCUGCACUAAUAGGUGGCCACUAGCAACAUGUGGCUGUUGAGCACUUGAAACAUGGCUAGGGCCACAUUUUAAACUGUAAAAACUAAAGCAGUAUACAGCGGAAAAAAAGGAUGCUGGUGCCCUCAAGACAUAGGCACCACGGGAAACCUCAAAGUCCCAGAUUGAACGUGUAGUGACAGAGACCUCAAAGGAAACUAGAAAACAUGACAUUCCAAGAAGAAAUACGAGUGGCUGGAGGGCUGCAGAAAUUCCACUGUUAAGAGGCAUGAAGGAAGCCAUCUGCAAGCCAGGAAGACAAUCCUCACCAGAAACCAACCAUGCUGGCACCCUGAACUAAUGUACGUACUAUGAAGGCAAAGACGUGGUUUGGGUCACUGCUAUAUCUCCAGCACAGGAACGCUGCCUGGUACACAAUACCCCAAUAAUGGCUUUCCUCUUGCUCCUUUCUGCUUCCUGACCAAACCUGGUGCUCCCCAUGUGGCCCUGCAUGACAUGGCCUGCCCACUCCUCUCAGGAAAUGGGCAUCGAAGCUCCUAUGAAGACUCCACUGCCAGACCAAGUCACCUUAUAAGGAAGAUCCCCCAAGAAGGAACUAUGAGAUAGGAACUAACCUAUGGUGUAACAAAGUGAGACCAGCUGAAGUGACAGGUGGGCAUAUUUGGGGAGUAUCUACAACCCCCUUAUGCCAUGAAGAGUUUCUCCAUACAAUAUUUUGGGUCUACACACGACAAUGCAUCUGUAAGGUACAAGUCAUCUUUCGAAAUCACAUUUAUCCCUCCCUUGCAGUUUAAUGUCACCAUGUCAAUGGAAUAUGAACAGAAAUGAUGUGUGCCACUUUCAGACUUGGCCCAUAAAAUCCUCCCGUGCAUGCUCCUCUGUGUGUUAUCAUCUUCUCUCAGCUGGAUGCAAACGACGGUGAGAUCCUAUGUUUUGGGGUGAAGCCACAGACGGAAGGGACCUGGGUCCUUGAAUGACUGUAUGAAAGAGAGCCUGCUUCCCUAACUGAACACCUACCAGGACUGUUAGACGAGCAAGAAAUAAAUUUCUACUGCAUGGUGGACUCUGUGAUCCACCACCUAGAUUCCAUUUCAGUGAAGGACUUGUUACCCCGGCUAAGGGAGUGCUGUCGGCAGAGCCUUCAGUUCUCAGCCCCUUCAGGGACUGCCUCAGCUCUCAGAGAGUUGCCUCAUCCAAGGUCAUGCCCUUCCAGGGAAAGACCACAUCCAGAGACCAAGCAAUGUGAGAGCUCACGUCCAGCCACUGCAGUCCAACGCUUCUGUGGGGUUGACCAAAGUUGUCAUCACGCCUGAUUUGCAGCUCAACUUCUCUCUUCUCCAAUCCUGCUUCCUCUCUUUCUUUUCUACAGAUUUUCAAUCUAACAAUAAUAAACAUCCCGCACUCGAAGCUUUCCAAGUCUGCUUCUUGGAGAAGCCCCCCUGAGGCACAGUGUGAACAAACAGCAUGGUCAGGUCUGUUUGUUACAGCAUCCUGGCCUGUGUAGCUGAUACAGCAUCGAGGUGGGACAUUUUUUCUGCUGACAUGGCUGUGCUAGGGUGGCCAGCAGACACAUUCCUUGCUAUGUAGAAAACCCUGUGCCAUCUGCAACAGGAGACAAUGAGGCCAACACACAGGAGUAGAGAUAGAGCCAGAUGGGAGAGAGAAAAUUCCAGCUG
ensembl:lncRNA